rnacentral:rRNA from 1 species
UACGGAAGGCAGCAGUGGGGAAUAUUGCACAAUGGGCGCAAGCCUGAUGCAGCCAUGCCGCGUGUAUGAAGAAGGCCUUCGGGUUGUAAAGUACUUUCAGUCGUGAGGAGGGUGUUAAGGUUAAUAACCUUAGCAAUUGACGUUAGCGACAGAAGAAGCACCGGCUAACUCCGUGCCAGCAGCCGCGGUAAUACGGAGGGUGCGAGCGUUAAUCGGAAUUACUGGGCGUAAAGGGCACGCAGGCGGUUAAUUAAGUUGGAUGUGAAAUCCCCGGGCUUAACCUGGGAAUGGCAUUCAAGACUGGUUAGCUAGAGUCUUGUAGAGGGGGUAGAAUUCCAUGUGUAGCGGUGAAAUGCGUAGAGAUGUGGAGGAAUACCGGUGGCGAAGGCGGCCCCUGGACAAAGACUGACGCUCAUGUGCGAAAGCGUGGGGAGCAAACG